rnacentral:rRNA from 1 species
CACGGGUGAGCUGGUCUGAGAGGGUGAUCAGCCACACUGGGACUGAGACACGGCCCAGACUCCUACGGGAGGCAGCAGUGGGGAAUAUUGCACAAUGGGCGAAAGCCUGAUGCAGCAACGCCGCGUGCGGGAUGAAGGCCUUAGGGUUGUAAACUCGCUUUCAGCAGGGAAGGUAAUGCACCGGCAGAA